rnacentral:rRNA from 1 species
CACGUAGGGCGCAAGCGUUGUUCGGAUUCAUUGGGCGUAAAGGGCGCGUAGGCGGCGGGGUAAGUCUGGUGUGAAAUCUCGGAGCUCAACUCCGAAAUUGCACUGGAUACUGCUCUGCUAGAGGGCUGGAGAGGAGAUCGGAAUUCACGGUGUAGCAGUGAAAUGCGUAGAUAUCGUGAGGAAGACCAGUGGCGAAGGCGGAUCUCUGGACAGCUCCUGACGCUGAGGCGCGAAGGCUAGGGGAGCAAACGGG